rnacentral:rRNA from 1 species
CCCUUAGAUGUUCUGGGCCGCACGCGUGCUACACUGAGUGGAUCAGCGGGUCAGGUUGCGCGAAAGUGUUUCCUAAUCUUUAAAUCCGCUCGUGAUGGGGAUUGACGGUUGCAAGUUUCCGUCAUGAACGAGGAAUACCUUGUAAGCGCGGGUCAUCAUCCCGCGCUGAAUACGUCCCUGCCCUUUGUACACACCGCCCGUCGCUCCUACCGAUUGAGUGGUCCGGUGAGGCUUUGGGAUCUGAGCGGAAAGAGCGUUUCGCUGUUUCUGCCCGGAAAACUCAGUCGAACCUUAUCAUUUAGAGGAAGGAGAAGUCGUAACA